rnacentral:sRNA from 1 species
GACCCUGAUCUGGAGCAGCCUGAGACGC